rnacentral:tRNA from 2 species
GCCUCGGUAGCUCAGUAUGGUAGAGCGAGUGCCUCGUAAGCACUAGGUCGCGGGAUCGAAGCCCGCCCGAGGCU